rnacentral:rRNA from 1 species
GAUGAACGCUGGCGGCGUGCCUAAUACAUGCAAGUCGAGCGAACGGACGAGAAGCUUGCUUUUCUGAUGUUAGCGGCGGACGGGUGAGUAACACGUGGAUAACCUACCUAUAAGACUGGGAUAACUUCGGGAAACCGGAGCUAAUACCGGAUAAUAUUUUGAACCGCAUGGUUCAAAAGUGAAAGACGGUCUUGCUGUCACUUAUAGAUGGAUCCGCGCUGCAUUAGCUAGUUGGUAAGGUAACGGCUUACCAAGGCAACGAUGCAUAGCCGACCUGAGAGGGUGAUCGGCCACACUGGAACUGAGACACGGUCCAGACUCCUACGGGAGGCAGCAGUAGGGAAUCUUCCGCAAUGGGCGAAAGCCUGACGGAGCAACGCCGCGUGAGUGAUGAAGGUCUUCGGAUCGUAAAACUCUGUUAUUAGGGAAGAACAUAUGUGUAAGUAACUGUGCACAUCCUGACGGUACCUAAUCAGGAAGCCACGGCUAACUACGUG